GUGGGGAGGCAAGGCCUCUGCCCCGUGUCCAGCACCUCAUGCCUCAUUUUAGAGAGGAAAGAAAGACCGCGGCUCUCACUUGGCACGAAGCCCUUACACAGAGGAACUCACCCCGAAGGGGAACAAAGAUUUAAGCUGGAUCCAAUAGCACCUUCUAGAAAUGCUGGGGACUUCCACCAAGUGGGCUCUGUGGCAGACAAAGAGGAACGUGACCAGGAAACCGGAAACCCAGGUUGGCUGGUGACAUCACGGCGAGGAGCUAUGGGGGCGACGCGGCAGAGGCUCAGCCCGCAGUGUUCCACACUGCCCAUGGCCCUUCACCUCUUCACCCGAACUCACCUCCAUGUGUUUCAUCCUAACAGGGCCACCAGCUGGAGUCUGUCCCGCAAGCCUAGCACUUGGUAUCACAGUUAUCUUGGAUUAUGGCUUCAAGAGCCAAGUCUGACCUUGAGUUCAAGGUCACAUCCCUAGACGGGUGAUCAAAGGGCAGGGGUGGUCACUCUGAGGCCAUAUGUCCUCUGCCCCAUGUCCAGCACCUCAUGCCUCAUCUUAGAGAGGAAAAAAAGACUGCAGAUCUCGCGAAAACUUGUUCCGAUCUUGUCACUCCAGUUUCUCCAAGACCCCAAGCAGAACCCUCCUCAUGGAAGGCCUCGGGCUUGGGUACCCAAAUCAACAAUCCAGGAGACUUCAGAAUUUAUUUUCUAUGAGACAAGAGGUCCCAAAUAUUACCAAUACUGGUUUUGUCUGUAGUCCACUAGAUACAAGGUCUUAGUGUCAGUUAUUGUACACGUAUUCAGCUGAGCCCAACCUACCCCAUCCUCAACAUCACUCCUCACUCAGAACUACCUGCCCUAUAGCCACCAAGACUCUUGUACUGCCAUGGCUUUUCUCAAUGAGCGCUGGUGAGUCUCAGAACAGUGUUCCAAGUUCCUAGCCAAAGUGCUGCUCCCACCUGCUGGGAGGUCCCAGGCAGGUCCAGCUGUGAGAAUAACAGCCCAGGCAAGGGACAACUCAGGUGGUGCCUGCAGGGGGUCUGACCACCUUUGGGGCAGUUGACUCCCAAACGUCUUCAGCUGACCCUUACCCCAGUGAUAGUGCUCCUUUCUCCUGCUCUGUCUUCUUGUUCCUGAACAUGGACACAGUGCUCCAUCAAUCCAAAACAUGGGAAAAGCAGCCCAGGCUCUAGACCUUGAUGAGCUGAGGAUUCUCCAGCCUCCACAGGGACCUUCUGGGAGCCAGCAACAAACACAUCACCCGCUCUGUGGGCAGGGCCCUGGCUUGCCUGUCGCACAGUGAGCAGAUGACUUGGGAGGCAGAACCGUCCACAGCCGCUGAAGCAGAGGCUGCCCACACUCACCAGCAGCACAGGGCCCCAGGGAAGUGUGGAGGGGGAAUGCUCGAGGACAUCUGCACUGAUCUGCCUGGGUGACCUCCCUCCAGACUUAAACCCCAGACCUGUGGUCUUAGGGAUGCCAUGCCCUCGGGUUCUCUUUACAGGGACCGAGAUAUACAAACAGUGGAUCCAUUUCAAUAAGAUAUGAAGAAACGAGAAAAGAUCAUUUUGAAACAGGCUGUUAUAUAUAGAAAAUUAAAUCAAGUGCCUUGGCUGUAAACACCAGGGCGGAUCGUGCACCAGCGUGCCAUUAAUUAUUAACUUUCCUGAAAUGUCCCAAUACGGACUAAAUGGCCUAUUCCCAGAGCAAAAUGUAUUCUCAUUGACAAAAGGAGACCAAAAUAUUUGUCAUGGUUGCUAAUUUGAAUAGAAUGGGUUCCAAAAUUAGAAAGUGGCUACUUCAAUGUUGAGCGUCUUGACAAGGCGUUUUGUUUGCAGUUGGAACAGGGAGACCAACAGGCGGUCUCCCCAAGCACUCCGUGCAGUGGGCCUUACUUCCAGGCUCCCCUUUUGAUUUUGAAUAUUUUAGGAAGAAUUUUAAAGUCAAGCCACACUCCCUCCAUUACUGGUAACCAUGCUAAAUGGUUCCAAUACCGCACCUGAGCAUUUGCAGCGAUCCUGUCAAAUAAAAUCUUCCUCCAAGUUAACUCUGCUCUAUAUUUAUGCAUUAAUAUCACAGCUUACUGCAAAGCGCACAAAUCAUUUUAACAGAGUGUAAAUUUAACUACCAUGAAGGCAUUUUAUACUCUGCUUAACUUCACUAAGGGGCCCAUAUUUUUUGGAGCAGAUAAAUCAGGUUUCCAUAUAACUCUACUUAAGGGAACAGAAGUCAAAACUUAUAAAGAGAAAUAUGCCCUGUGUCCCUGGAUUACAGAGCAAAUAAACAUAUCUGCACCCCAGC